rnacentral:rRNA from 1 species
UACAGAGGUCUCAAGCGUUGUUCGGAUUCAUUGGGCGUAAAGGGUGCGUAGGCGGCGGGGCAAGUCUGAUGUGAAAUCCCCGGGGGCUCAACCCCCGGAACUGCAUUGGAUACUGCCUUGCUAGAGUACUGGAGAGGGAACUGGAAUUUACGGUGUAGCAGUGAAAUGCGUAGAGAUCGUAAGGAAGGCCAGUGGCGAAGGCGAGUUCCUGGACAGUUACUGACGCUGAGGCACGAAGGCCAGGGGAGCAAACGGG